AUUGAACGCUGGCGGCAGGCCUAACCCAUGCAAGUCGAACGAGUGGCGGACGGGUGAGUAAUGUCUGGGACACUGCCUGAUGGAGGGGGAUAACUACUGGAAACGAUAGCUAAUACCGCAUACCAUCAGAUGUGCCCAGAUGGGAUUAGCUAGUAGGUGGGGUAACGGCUCACCUAGUCGACGAUCCCUAGCUGGUCUGAGAGGAUGACCAGCCACACUGGAACUGAGACACGGUCCAGACGCCUACGGGAGGCAGCAGUGGGGAAUAUUGCACAAUGGGCGCAAGCCUGAUGCAGCCAUGCCGCGUGUAUGAAGAAGGCCUUCGGGUUGUAAAGUACUUUCAGCGGGGAGGCGUUACCCGCAGAAGAAGCACCGGAUAAAUAAGGGCCAGCAGCCGCGGUAAUAC
rnacentral:rRNA from 1 species